UUGAACGCUGGCGGCAUGCCUUACACAUGCAAGUCGAACGGUAACAGGUCUUCGGAUGCUGACGAGUGGCGAACGGGUGAGUAAUACAUCGGAACGUGCCCGACCGUGGGGGAUAACGCAGCGAAAGCUGUGCUAAUACCGCAUACGAUCUACGGAUGAAGCGGGGGACUCGCAAGAGCCUCGCGCGGACGGAGCGGCCGAUGGCAGAUUAGGUAGUUGGUGGGAUAAAAGCUUACCAAGCCGACGAUCUGUAGCUGGUCUGAGAGGAUGAUCCGUCACACUGGAACUGAGACACGGUCCAGACUCCUACGGGAGGCAGCAGUGGGGAAUUUUGGACAAUGGGGGCAACCCUGAUCCAGCCAUUCCGCGUGAGUGAAGAAGGCCUUCGGGUUGUAAAGCUCUUUCAGCCGGAACGAAACGGUACGCUCUAACAUAGCGUGCUAAUGACGGUACCGGCAGAAGAAGCACCGGCUAACUACGU
rnacentral:rRNA from 1 species